AAUAGUGAUUUUGAAAUUUUUUAAAGCUUUUAGUCUGGUAAAAGUAUUUAGUAGUUAGAUUUGAUUUACUGAUGAAUUUCUGAUGGGUAAGUUUGUGACAAGUUCUUUUAGAUUGAGAAAACUGACUUCAACUUUGAUACCUGAUCAGGAAAACCUAGUGAUUUCCACAAGAGGACUUCAACUUUGAUACCAGAUCAGGAAAACCUAGUGAUUUCCACAAGAGGAGGAGUUGCCCUGUUGGUGCAGGCCAGGGAUCGAAAUUAUUAGUUUCAUAUGUGGCCACGCGGAUAUGGGCUAAUGGCCACGCGGAUAUGGGCUCAUGCUUACGGACCAUUUGAAUAUCCGGGAGAUUAUCCAUCUGUGAGUUGCACGUCCCACCCGAGAUUAGAUCUGUGUCUUUAAUAGAUCCAAGUUUAAUCUUUUUAGUUUUAAAAAAAAAUUAUUAGGAAAACAUGGUAAAUAUAUAGUUUAAGUCGUUUAUAGAUAAAAGGAAAGUUGAACACAAAAGUUAAGAGAGACCAAGAGAGAAAGAAAGAA
rnacentral:lncRNA from 1 species